rnacentral:rRNA from 1 species
UACGUAGGGUGCGAGCGUUGCCCGGAUUUAUUGGGCGGAAAGGGCGCGUAGGCGGCCACGCACGUCCGUUGUGAAAUCGCCCGGCUCAACUGGGCGGGGUCAGCGGAUACGGUGUGGCUCGAGCAAGCUAGGGGGCAAUGGAAUUCCCGGUGUAGUGGUGGAAUGCGUAGAUAUCGGGAGGAACACCAGUGGCGAAGGCGGUUGCCUGGAGCUUUGCUGACGCUGAUGCGCGAAAGCGUGGGGAGCGAUCCGG